UACGUAGGGGGCAAGCGUUAUCCGGAAUUACUGGGUGUAAAGGGAGCGCAGACGGUAAUGUAAGUCUGGAGUGAAAGGCGGGGGCCCAACCCCCGGACUGCUCUGGAAACUAUGUUACUAGAGUGCAGGAGAGGUAAGCGGAAUUCCUAGUGUAGCGGUGAAAUGCGUAGAUAUUAGGAGGAACACCAGUGGCGAAGGCGGCUUACUGGACUGUAACUGACGUUGAGGCUCGAAAGCGUGGGGAGCAAACAGG
rnacentral:rRNA from 1 species